GCGGAUCCGCGGCCGCUGCAGAGUUUGAUCCUGGCUCAGAUUGAACGCUGGCGGCAUGCUUUACACAUGCAAGUCGAACGGUAACAGGCCUUCGGGUGCUGACGAGUGGCGAACGGGUGAGUAAUGCAUCGGAACGUACCCGGUCGUGGGGGAUAACGCAGCGAAAGCUGUGCUAAUACCGCAUACGAUCUGAGGAUGAAAGCGGGGGACCUUCGGGCCUCGCGCGAUCGGAGCGGACGAUGUCGGAUUAGCUAGUUGGUGGGGUAAAGGCCUACCAAAGCGACGAUCCGUAGCUUGUCUUAGAGGACGGCCAGCCACACUGGGACUGGAGACACGGCCCAGAGUGCUACGGGAGGGAGCAGU
rnacentral:rRNA from 1 species